rnacentral:rRNA from 1 species
UACAGAGGGGGCAAGCGUUGUUCGGAAUUACUGGGCGUAAAGGGCGCGUAGGCGGCCCGCUAAGUCGAACGUGAAAUCCCCAGGCUCAACCUGGGAACUGCGUCCGAUACUGGCAGGCUUGAAUCCGGGAGAGGGAUGUGGAAUUCCUGGUGUAGCGGUGAAAUGCGCAGAUAUCAGGAGGAACACCGGUGGCGAAGGCGGUUCUCUGGGAAUAUCCUGACGCUGAGGAGCGAAAGUGUGGGGAGCGAACAGG